rnacentral:rRNA from 1 species
UACGUAGGGUGCGAGCGUUAAUCGGAAUUACUGGGCGUAAAGCGUGCGCAGGCGGUUUUCCAAGACAGAUGUGAAAUCCCCGGGCUCAACCUGGGAAUGGCAUUUGUGACUGGAAGGCUAGAGUGUGUCAGAGGGGGGUAGAAUUCCACGUGUAGCAGUGAAAUGCGUAGAGAUGUGGAGGAAUACCGAUGGCGAAGGCAGCCCCCUGGGCCAAUACUGACGCUCAUGCACGAAAGCGUGGGGAGCAAACAGG